rnacentral:rRNA from 1 species
AUGGAUUGUGCCGAGGCUGGACUACCCAAGACGCUCAAGUUUGCACUUGAGAGUUUGUUGCCGAAAGAUGAUCAAGUUUACUCAGGAGCAUUUCAUCUCAUCGAGGUAGAAUUGAGCUUCCUCUAUGACUUCUUCUUCACAAAUCAUGCAAAUAUAAAUUCCUUAGAGAUUCAGUUUCUUAUGCUGGUUGUUGUCAAAUUGAUUUGCACACUUAUUAGUGGAGUGUUUCUGCUUGUAUAUCCCCCCAUUGUCAGAUCAAUUGACCCCAUAAUCGAGGUUGGCACAAGAAGGGUUGAUGUUACUAUAACAGUCGUGAUUAUGGGAGGUCUCUGUCUGUUUGAAGUUAUGCAGGUCAUACUCUAUCUAACAUCGGACUGGGCCACCAUUUCACUUGUUUGCAGCUAUACCAGAGGAGAUGCAUGCAAACUCGGUCCAUCCAUCAUUCGGUUUGUUAGAAGGUUUAAGUUUGAAAAUUUUCUUGGCAAGAGGAUUAAUAUUUUUGGAUAUUGGCAAAAUAAGAUGGACCAGCCAUCUGUAAUUGGAGGCAACUUGCUUGUCCAUUGGCUCUAUGUGAGCCCCAGUGGUGGAAUCGCGUUGGAGCAUGCUCUAGUAUUUUCAGCAUACAACCUCAUUUAUUCAAUGAUAUUCUCAAUGAAGAAAUUUGUGGUCAUUCCUGAUUUGGUCAAGAGCGAUAUAGUUUCUUGCUUGUGGACAUAUGGCAACGGUGGUGGUCCUCUAACUAAUGGAAGGGCAGCAUUGCAGCGUAAUGGUGUCCUUAGAGAUUUCUCCUCUACAUUGGAAAAUGAUGGCCAGAUAAAAGUGAUGCUUAUUUGGCACAUCGCAUCUGAGUACUGCAAUAUUGCAUCCUCCGAUGGUGCAGAGGAGGGGCUUCAUCACAGCGGUGCACGUCAAGUUGCCACAACUUUGUCCAAGUAUUGUGCCUACUUAAUAUACUUCAUUCCAGAAUUGCUCGCCGAGAACUCUACAGACACACUAUUCAUAGUCCAUGACUUGCUGAAGGAAGUAGAUAGUGCACUGGGUGGUGACAAACCGACUAAGGAUAGAUUGCUCAGGGUCAUCCAGGAUUCUGAAAGUAUCAUGAGUAACCAGGAUCAAACUGUCGUCCAUGAUUCUGACGGCCCUGACAACCAUGCUACCAUAAUCCAAAUCCCUCCAGUCAGCAACAACCAAUGUUUUAAAUAG